UACGUAGGUGGCGAGCGUUGUCCGGAUUUACUGGGCGUAAAGCGUGCGUAGGUGGUUCGUUAAGUCUGUCGUGAAAGCCCCGGGCUCAACCUGGGAAUGGCGAUGGAUACUGGCGGGCUAGAGUGCGGUAGAGGGUGGUGGAAUUCCCGGUGUAGCAGUGAAAUGCGUAGAGAUCGGGAGGAACAUCAGUUGCGAAGGCGGCCACCUGGACCAGCACUGACACUGAGGCACGAAAGCGUGGGGAGCAAACAGG
rnacentral:rRNA from 1 species